rnacentral:rRNA from 1 species
AUUGAACGCUGGCGGCAGGCCUAACACAUGCAAGUCGAGCGGUAGAGAGGUGCUUGCAUCUCUUGAGAGCGGCGGACGGGUGAGUAAUGCCUAGGAAUCUGCCUAGUGGUGGGGGAUAACGUUCGGAAACGGACGCUAAUACCGCAUACGUCCUACGGGAGAAAGCGGGGGGAUCUUCGGACCUCGCGCCAUUAGAUGAGCCUAGGUCGGAUUAGCUAGUUGGUGAGGUAAUGGCUCACCAAGGCGACGAUCCGUAACUGGUCUGAGAGGAUGAUCAGUCACACUGGAACUGAGACACGGUCCAGACUCCUACGGGAGGCAGCAGUGGGGAAUAUUGGACAAUGGGC